AGUUGCUCGCGGCGGCUGAGAAGACGGCGAAGACGAGGAGGCGCAGCGAACGCAGGCACGAGCGGGGACUCAUGGUGCCGCCGCGGGCGCCCGGCCCGGGGCAGCGGCUGCGGCCGCGGGGGGCCUCCCGUCGGGGCUGCAGAUAAAGAAUCCGAGGCGCAGAGAGGUGGCACUGCUGGAAGGAACAGAGCCAGAUCCACAAGAUCCUUCAUUCCGACAAUAAAUAUUCACUGAAGAUCUGCCACAUGUCAGGCCCCAGCCCAGAUCAGGAAAUUGAGGUCCAGUGAGGUGUCUUGGCCAGGACACUCAGUCAGGACGUGACAUGAACACAGGACUGUCUGACUUCAAAUCCAGUGCUCCUUCCCCUGCAGUCCCCACCCCACUGACUGGGGGACAGUGCUCCAGGCAGCUGGAAUGGGACACGGUUUGUGUGGCAGCGAGAUAUCCAGGCUCUCCUCCUUCCAGAUCUAAGGCAUGCGGUGUGAACAGGAGCAAUCCCUUCACAGUGUGGAGCCACCGGCUUUGGAGUUGUUUGUGGCUGCAGUGUGUAACCCAGCAUCUCCUGACUGAUGUUAUAGGUUCUGCCGGAGGGGCAAAUGCGGGCAGCAAGGGCUUGCAGCCCUGGAAUUAACAAAUGAGAUUCAAACCCAGGUCUGCUUGACUAGGAAGGCCGGCCCUCUCCAUGGUGCCAGGACAACUCUUUGGAGAAGAUGCCCCUCUCUCUGCCUGCCUGAAUCUUCUCCGUCCACAAAGGCCUGCUCCAUCCUCCCUCCUCCAGGAAGCUUUCCCUGACUGUCCCCGGGCCCAGCCAGGGUGUCUGGGGGGCUGGAGAGACCCACAGAGCCCUGAUCACCGUGGCUGGCCCGUAAGUGUGGCGACUGAGUCCCAGUCUGGAGGCACAGCUGGACUUUCCCAGAGAGAACUGAGGCAUUGUGGGAAUUUCCCAGCUGUGACCCCAGGACCCUGAUUGCCCAGAAUGGCUCCAAGUUCACAUAUCUAGGGACCGUCACCAAGACUCCUGUAUCUAUAUUAAACUCGGUAAAUGUGAUGACCCUGGAAAUGUGCCCUCAGCAUCACAACCGCACUCUUGGCCCCUCCAGAAUUCAGAGCCACUUUGGGAGUCCACC
rnacentral:lncRNA from 10 species